rfam:Cyphomyrmex costatus contig23604, whole genome shotgun sequence.
AAAACGGCCCUUUUCAGGGCCACCAAAUGACUCGUUACAUUGGAU